CCUACGGGUGGCAGCAGUGGGGAAUAUUGCACAAUGGGGGAAACCCUGAUGCAGCGACGCCGCGUGAGUGAAGAAGUAUUUCGGUAUGUAAAGCUCUAUCAGCAGGAACGAGACAAGACGGUACCUGACUAAGAAGCCCCGGCUAACUACGUGCCAGCAGCCGCGGUAAUACGUAGGGGGCAAGCGUUAUCCGGAAUCACUGGGUGGAAAGGGAGCGUAGACGGCUGAGCAAGCCUGAAGUGAAAGGCGGGGGCCCAACCCCCGGACUGCUUUGGGAACUGUACGGCUGGAGUGCAGGAGAGGUAAGUGGAAGUCCUAGGGGAGCGGUGAAAUGCGUAGAUAUUAGGAGGAACACCAGUGGCGAAGGCGGCUUACUGGACUGUAACUGACGUUGAGGCUCGAAAGCGUGGGGAGCAAACAGGAUUAGAUACCCCUGUAGUC
rnacentral:rRNA from 1 species